rnacentral:rRNA from 1 species
AGAGUUUGAUCAUGGCUCAGAUUGAACGCUGGCGGCAGGCUUAACACAUGCAAGUCGAGCGGGGAAAGGUAGCUUGCUACCUUACCUAGCGGCGGACGGGUGAGUAAUGCUUAGGAAUCUGCCUAUUAGUGGGGGACAACAUUUCGAAAGGAAUGCUAAUACCGCAUACGCCCUACGGGGGAAAGCAGGGGACCUUCGGGCCUUGCGCUAAUAGAUGAGCCUAAGUCGGAUUAGCUAGUUGGUGGGGUAAAGGCCUACCAAGGCGACGAUCUGUAGCGGGUCUGAGAGGAUGAUCCGCCACACUGGGACUGAGACACGGCCCAGACUCCUACGGGAGGCAGCAGUGGGGAAUAUUGGACAAUGGGGGGAACCCUGAUCCAGCCAUGCCGCGUGUGUGAAGAAGGCCUUUUGGUUGUAAAGCACUUUAAGCGAGGAGGAGGCUCCCAGUAUUAAUACUACUGGAGAGUGGACGUUACCCGCAGAAUAAGCACCGGCUAACUCUGUGCCAGCAGCCGCGGUAAUACAGAGGGUGCAAGCGUUAAUCGGAUUUACUGGGCGUAAAGCGUGCGUAGGUGGCCAAUUAAGUCAAAUGUGAAAUCCCCGAGCUUAACUUGGGAAUUGCAUUCGAUACUGGUUGGCUAGAGUAUGGGAGAGGAUGGUAGAAUUCCAGGUGUAGCGGUGAAAUGCGUAGAGAUCUGGAGGAAUACCGAUGGCGAAGCAGCCAUCUGGC